CGCGCGACGAGCGCUGAACUGGAUUCGGGAUUCACGGAGUUCGUUGCAACAACCUCGUCCGCCAGCUAUUAGACUUCGAACCGAUCUAUCCUGGGGCUAUAAAGUCGUACGCUGGGUCCCCUCUCCCUUUCCAUCUCCGUAUCCCGACCGCCGUCCACAAGAGAGAAAGGAAGCAGCGUCGCCAUGGUGAAUUUGUGCCGUCGCCACUUGUUCACCAUCGAUUGGUCAGCCGAAGGAAUUCACCAGAGACCGGAGAUCCUCCUCGCGCUAAAAGGCUACGCCAGGGGGGUAUCACACUUGGCCAAUUGCUCACCGGUGAGACACAGGCGUCACGGACGGCACAUCGCCGUGGUCGAAUAUCUCCACGACUCUCGGAGUCAACGAGCAAGUGACUGAGGAACCCGAAGCACCGCAAGUUGAAGAUUCUGAGCAGGAGCUCGCUGAAAGCAAGUUGUGCCCUUGAUCACAUUCUUUGAACCAAUAAUGUUCUUGUUUCUAAUAAUCACUAUGACAUGCUUAGGUUAACUUGAUGGGACCUAAUAGGUUACCUAUUUUUGUUUGCCCCAUACUUUGCAUAGAAAUGAAUUAUUUGGUAGUCUUGCUAUUGCUCUACCUUGUUUUGGGUUAAUGUUACUUAUGAUUCACGCUCAUGUUCCAUUA